AGAGUUUGAUCCUGGCUCAGGAUGAACGCUGGCGGCGUGCCUAACACAUGCAAGUCGAACGGGAGAUUUGUUUUCGGAUAGAUCAAGAGUGGCGCACGGGUGAGUAACACGUAGCUAACCUGCCCUCAAGACCGGGACAACUUUGGGAAACCAGAGCUAAUACCGGAUAAGCCCACGGUGAAUAGAGAACUGUGAGAAAAGGUUCAGGCGCUUGAGGAGGGGGCUGCGGCCCAUCAGGUAGUUGGUAGGGUAACGGCCUACCAAGCCGACGACGGGUAGGGGGCCUGAGAGGGUGACCCCCCACACUGGGACUGAGACACGGCCCAGACUCCUACGGGAGGCAGCAGUGAGGGAUAUUGCACAAUGGGCGCAAGCCUGAUGCAGCGACGCCGCGUGGGUGAUGAAGGUUUAUAUAAUCGUAAAGCCCUUUUCUGCGUGACGAGACAAGGACGGUAGCGCAGGAAGAAGUCUCGGCUAACUACGUGCCAGCAGCCGCGGUAAAACGUAGGAGGCAAGCGUUAUCCGGAGUUACUGGGCGUAAAGCGCGUGUAGGCGGAAGUUCAAGUCAGUUGUGAAAGCUCCCGGCUAAACUGGGAGAGGUCGACUGAUACUGGGCAUCUAGAGUGUGAGAGAGGGGUGUGGAAUUCCGGGUGUAGUGGUGAAAUGCGUAGAUAUCCGGAGGAACACCAGUGGCGAAGGCGGCACCCUGGCUCACAACUGACGCUGAGACGCGAAAGCAUGGGUAGCGAACGGGAUUAGAAACCCCGGUAGUCCAUGCCGUAAACGAUGCAUACUAGGUGUUCGUGGGGGUUAACGCCCUAGGGAGUGCCGAAGCUAACGCGGUAAGUAUGCCGCCUGAGGAGUACGGUCGCAAGGCUAAAAACUCAAAGGAAUUGACGGGGCCCCGCACAAGCAGCGGAGCGUGUGGUUUAAUUCGAGCCUACACGAAGAACCUUACCUGGGUUUGACAUAGCGGUAGUAGGGAACCGAAAGGGGACCGACCUACGGGAGCCGUUACAGGUGCUGCAUGGCUGUCGUCAGCUCGUGUCGUGAGAUGUUCGGUUAAGUCCGCAAACGAGCGCAACCCUCGGUGCUAGUUACAAAUGUCUAGCGCGACUGCCCGUGACAAACGGGAGGAAGGUGAGGAUGAUGUCAAGUCAGCAUGGCCUUUAUAUCCAGGGCUACACACACGCUACAAUGGGCGGUACAGUGGGUCGCGAAGCCGCGAGGUGGAGCCAAUCCUAAAAAGCCGUUCGUAGUUCGGAUUGUAGGCUGCAACUCGCCUGCAUGAAGUCGGAGUUGCUAGUAACCGCAGGUCAGCUAUACUGCGGUGAAUACGUUCCCGGGGCUUGUACACACCGCCCGUCACGUCAUGGAAGCUGGUCACGCCUGAAGUCGGGAAGCUAACCUAACGGAGGCUACCGCCGAAGGCAGGGCCGGUGACUGGGACGAAGUCGUAACAAGGUA
rnacentral:rRNA from 1 species